UGGGGAAUAUUGCACAAUUGAGGGAACUCUGAUGCAGCGACGCCGCGUGAACGAAGAAGGCUUUCGAGUCGUAAAGUUCUUUUAUAUGGGAAGAUAAUGACGGUACCAUAAGAAAAAGCCCCGGCUAACUACGUGCCAGCAGCCGCGGUAAUACGUAGGGGGCUAGCGUUGUCCGGAAUCACUGGGCGUAAAGGGUUCGCAGGCGGAAAUGCAAGUCAGGUGUAAAAGGCAGUAGCUUAACUACUGUAAGCAUUUGAAACUGCAUAUCUUGAGAAGAGUAGGGGUAAGUGGAAUUUUUAGUGUAGCGGUGAAAUGCGUAGAUAUUAAAAAGAAUACCGGUGGCGAAGGCGACUUACUGGGCUCAUUCUGACGCUGAGGAACGAAAGCGUGGGUAGCAAACAGG
rnacentral:rRNA from 1 species